rnacentral:rRNA from 1 species
GCUGGCGGCGUGCCUAACACAUGCAAGUCGAGCGAGAACCAGGACCUUCGGGUCUUGGGGACAGCGGCGAACGGGUGAGUAACACGUGAGUAAUCCACCCUUGGUACCGGGAUAGCUCGGGGAAACUCGAAUUAAUACCGGAUAGCCCAUGAGCCUUUCGGGGCGAAUGGAAAAGGUAGCUUCGGCCUCCGACCAAGGACGAGCUCGCGGCGGAUUAGCUUGUUGGCGGGGUAAUGGCCCACCAAGGCGACGAUCCGUAGCUGGUCUGAGAGGACGAUCAGCCACACUGGGACUGAGACACGGCCCAGACUCCUACGGGAGGCAGCAGUGGGGAAUCUUGCGCAAUGGGCGAAAGCCUGACGCAGCGACGCCGCGUGAGGGAAGAAGGCCUUCGGGUUGUAAACCUCUUUCAGAAGGGACGAAGCCACUCGGGUUAAUAGCCCAGAGGGUGACGGUACCUUCAGAAGAAGCCCCGGCUAACUACGUGCCAGCAGCCGCGGUAAUAC